rnacentral:lncRNA from 1 species
AUGACGGAGUUCAAAAUUAUUACUGUGAAAAUUUUUAAGCAGUCUUCACUAUUUUCAGCUGCUCUACCAAAAUUUAACUGCUCUCCCAGUAAACUGCUCAAGAAGAUGAACUCCAGAAGUGCAUCAAGCGGACACUUAUGGCGUGUCUUAACCAGCACACUACACGGAUCAAACGCAGUGCAAACCUCCAAUUUUUUGAGCCACAGUACAAUGAAACCAUAUGGUGAUCAACAUCUGCCAGCGUCGUUCAUUAAGGCUGAAACAUUGGAUUUUCCCCGUCUACUGGGCGUAAGAGGUCCUGACAUAAUGCUGAUGGUAAAACUUGAGAACUAUGACAUAGCUGAAACACCACACAUAACAUUUUUAAAGGACAAAACUAACAGUUCUACGUCCUAUCUUGUCUCAAUUUGCUGUCUAAUAAGAAAUGCCUUCAAAAACUUCAGCCUCUGGGAUCUAGCAAGUUUGGUAAGAGGAGCGAAAAAGUUUAAACUCGCGGAUUCACCUGCAGAGGCAACCUCUGUAACAAUAAUUAGUGACGAUGAAAUAGAUCCUUACACAAUGCAGGAGACAGUUGAUCAAAUUAUCAAUCGCUCGAUGAGACCUGAGUACACACUGAAUUCUCCUGUGGUGCUAAUAAAAAAAACGUCAAGGGCCGACUGUCAUGACAAAGGAGGAAAACAGAGCGACACGGGAAAUGCAAGGAAUGUGAAGCAGGAGGUGCUUCGAAUUCUGAUAAAAACAAACCCCCGAGAGAAAAGACGGCACAAAAUCGGACUCAGGCCAUGAGUCGGCUGAGGAUCCAUCACCUUCAAAAUGUGAGCCCGGAUUCUGUCAGUUUCCAAACGAGAAAUUUACACUUAGAUAUCCGGACACCCAGCCACCUGCAAAUUGCUCGAACUGCGGAGCAUUUUCACCUGGUAAAAGCACGGCUUCAGGUGAGAGCUCAUGUUCAAGAGAGUCAUCUUACUCUUCACCCUCAUCAGGUUGCCAAUCUCCUGGCUCAGGUUCUCUAUCACCUGAGAGAAUCGCAUCAGGUUCAUCUUCAGGAGAAUGCCCUAACAGAUGCUCUCCUCCAGGCACACCUGCAUCUUCUUACUCAGGGUCUCCGAGAUCAAGCUCAACUUAUGAAAGUUGCCGUAGCUGCUUUACACCAGGUUCAUCAGCAGCAUCUGCUAGGUCUCGUUCGUCUGCUAGAAGUUCAAAUUCAAAUAGAUCGGAUGCUUCAUCAGUGAGAAGUAUAGAGGAAAUUCCUAACUUCCCUGAGGAGGGUGGCUGGGCCUCUUUGCCCGACGACAUCGACGCAGGUUUAGAAGAAGAAAUGUGCGAGAGAAAUCGACCCAGAGAUGAUUAUUGGGACCGUUGGAGGCGUCCUGUGCAAUCUCAAUCUCGUAAUCCCCCUCCACAGGUAAAGGAUGAUUUCAUCAAACUUUAAAAUUACGAAUUACGAUUGAACACUUUAUUAGAAAAAAAUUGGGUAAAAUGAGAGGAUAUAAUUAAAGAGGGCAGGCCAUGAUAAAAAUCUCAUUGUGAAUCUUACAAUAAAUUCACUUGUUAAGUGUGUCUUAUUUUAUCAGUUGUUCACAGCAACUUGAAAUACUCCCCCCCCCCCCCCCAAACCGUCAAUUUUCACAUUUUACAUAGACUUUGGACCUUCAACAGUUCCCUUGAGAAAUAUUUUUGUUGGACUUUAGAGAUAUCACCCUUUUGCCUAUCUAAAUGAAUUCUGCCUUCCUAUUUUUCCCUUCUUUUCUAUCCUGAUAUUUCAUUAUUUCGCUCUGUUUCCCAGGCGAGUUACUACCCCAGACUUUACUAUGAAGAAGUAACUUACGAGCCAUCUCCAGAACCAUCACCACCACGACAGAAAAGUCCCCCUUCAGAGUAUACGAAGACCCCGAGGGUUAUGAGCCGGCUAGCUCUAUACACC